CAUAUCACGAUGUGUAAGUGUCAAUGAUGAAAAGUUAUGGGCACGAGAGACAAACAAAAGAAGUCGUUUUGCUGUCAAGUUCAACCAUGUCACUGGGGCGAAGUCAUUUCUCUAAGUUACGUUUGACAUGAAUUGGAAAAAGAAAAAAAGGUUGUGAUGUUGAUGAGGUAGAAGUAUUCCAUGAAACACAUUUCGUAAAAAAGAAGGAUGGAUCAAUGAUAAGAAAAGAUGCAUAUUUGAAAAUGCAACGAAUCAUUGCAAAGUCAACUGAAGUUGGUGUUCAAACUAUCUCUAGUGUAAAGACAUGCGAAAUUGUAUUAGGGAGUCGCUCAAUGCAAACUAUCAACCUAAAAUGUGGUGAAUCAUUAGGUAGUAAUGUGUAAGCUACACGUGAGAAAGAGAAGAAUGAGAUGACAUACCUUAAAGAAGCAAAUGGAAAGUUAACCAAUGAGCUUGCAAAAUGGAAACAAAAGUGGACUGACAUAAAAAAAAGUUGGAUCUAGGAGAGGAGGAGAAAGUGGAAGAGGAUGCAUCUUCAAAUAUUUAGGUAUUUUUCUAAACUAAAAUUUAAAAGGUUAUAUUGUUAAAGUAUGUUUCAAUAUUAUGUGUGGCUAUACUGCAGUUACGGUAGCCAGUCAACAUGUUUUUGGAUGGUUUAUAGAAGUACCACUUAGACACAAAGGCUAAUUGUAUCUUGUUUGAACCUUUAAUUUUUUUAAGACUUUAAGCUUGUCGUUUUGAUUGAAAACUAUGACUCAUAAGACAGGAAUAUUGUAAGAAGUCUUAUUCCGCAAGAGGUCUUUGGAUGCGUUGAAACAUACAUGACUUUUUAAAGUAUAUGAGAUUUUUUACCUUUUUGGAUGAUUUGUAGAAGUAAGACGCUUUUUAGAUUUAUUUUGUAGUUGGUUUUGUGUUUUGCGAUCAUACUUAGGUAUUUGAAACUUAUUCUGUAGGUCGGCUUUGAGAGUUAAGAUACUUUUGUACAUUUUUAGUUAGACUUUAGUUUCAAAGUUGCACUUGAGACUUGUUCAUUUUACUGUACUUUUUUCAGGUUUAUGAGCAAAGAAUGACUAUUUUUUUGAA